AAAGGAGGGAGGGGCCCCAACCUCUCGGGGCUGGGGGGGGCCUUCUUCUGUGUAUGUUGGUUAUUUUUGCUGAUUUUACUCCCAGAACCACGUUUUUCUUUUCUUUUCUUUUACUUUGGAUUGUGUGACGCAUUCUGUAAGAAUUUCUCGCGACAUGCUUUUGUUGUGUUGGUUUUACUGUCGGUGAAGCAAAGUGUGGCAUCAUCCGGUGCUGACCGGACCCGGGACAGUGACUUUACCAGAGGUGUUUGCCUUCUUUUACGUUCCAUGUAGUCGGCAUGAUUUUGUGUCAUUUAAAGUUUUUCUUUUACAUAAAUGGUACUGACACUUGUAGCAAUUUUUUUUGUCUUUUGUUAAGUCGUGAGGUUUUAAGGUGAAAGUAGAGUAUUUGUCAAACAGCUGGGUUUCACUUCCGGUACCUCACUUGUUAAUCCUAAAUCUUGGGAGCGGACGCUUGUCGCUGAGACGCGACACGAGUGGAUUACCGUCGGGAUUAUUUCACCGCUUUGCUUUGGGAGGUUUUCUGCUGAUGCUGUUUAUGUCUUUUUCUCAGCUAGUGCUUACGUUAUGCUUGGAACAAUGAUCAACGAAAAAAUAUUUAUAUUGUGUUGAAUGCAGAUUAGUUUUUAUAGCCCCUUUGUGUUUUUCUCUCUUUUUUUGUGAAAUUAUAUUGAAAGAUUAUUCUAUAAAGUAAGGGGGGAGAAGAGAUUAACUUAUUUUUCCCAGACAAGCUAAUCAUGGGGUUUUUGAGUCUGUGAUUAUUUCUUAGAUGACUAGUAAAAUAAAAAUGCAAAUAAUUUUUAUUUAGAGAGUUUAUCAAAAAAAAAAAAAAAAAAUUGAGAUAAAACAGAAAAAUGCUAUGCUUUGCGGGCUCCUGGCACGGAGCGCCCUGCCAGUUCUGCUUCCAGACAUGAUGGACUGGUUGGCACAGCGACGGUCUGCGCAGACCUGCUGGCUCCGCCCCCUCUGUGGGCCGGGCGCUCAGCAGUGCCCUCUGCAGGUUACAGAAAUAUUCUCUCUGAUCACGCGCUGUCUCCUAGGCAUGGGCCAGGUUUGAGAUUCUCACUGUAGGACCGCAUUAAGUCAAAUAGAAAUAUCUACUUUAAAAUAUGUUUUUGUCAUUAUUACAGUAAGAAUGAAGAAAAUGUUUACAUUUUGAGUUUAAUUCAUGGAUUUGAGCAAAAAUAGAGCGCCAAAACCCACUAAAAUUACACUUGUAGAAGUUUUCAAGGUUAUGUUGCAAAAUAAUAUACAUUUUGUUUUUUAAAAAGUGAAAUAAGAGUAUAAGAAGUGGAUAUUUGCUGCUCAGCCUGCUGUCAGCUGAUUUAGAUAUGUCCCUCGUAGCUUGUCGUUUGUAGAUUCACUUUGUUCAUGACUUUUUUUUAAAUCUUCAAACAGUUAAACCCAUUACUCCUGCAGGAGAAAUGGGUGGGGCUCCUUCGUUUUCCGCCCACAGACCUUGUUUUUUGCUCCCGAAACAGCUGAUUUUCUCUUAAUUUCUGUAAUCGUGACCAAAAAAGUAGCCUUCAUUUGUUUUGUUUUUGCUGUUUUCUUGCAACCGGCGGAGCGGCAGCUUGACCGGCCCAUGCCUAACUGCUUCCUCAUCUGGCGAAUCAGAGCGCUGCAGAUAAACCAGCUUGAAAAUAUGCAUUCCUCCUACGCCUUAUGCUAGCUGUGAACCGCCCCGCUGUGUAAGAAUCAGGAAAUUGCUUUUUUAAGAUUUUAAGAGACAGCUGUGGGUCGAGACAUUCAGGGGAAAAAAGCUCAUCAGUACUGCUGGUGGAAACGUUCUUACUUUUUGCCGUGCUGCUGUUUGUAACGAUGAAAGUUUUUCAAAUGAACCGAUCCACGUCGGCGGCGCUGCGUUCACCAAGGUUUUGCCUUCGAGUUCUUAAAUCUUCAGUCACUGACAGGUUCGCCCACUUCUGCUGCCUCUAGCAAACAGAAUAAAUAGCCACGCUGUCUUCCUGCUGCAAACAUUUACUUCUCCAACAAGUUUUAAUCAAGGAGACAGGUAUUUUCUCUUGUCGAGCCACAAACACAUCCUUAACCACACACUUUGACAUCAUAGGCUGCAGUAUUAGUGAGGAAAGUUGUGCCAGUGUUUGUCACCAAAAUGACAAAUCUGCAUGUUGAUUUUUAGUGAUAUUUAAUUCCUUCCAACCUCCGCAUGUGGAUACACGGGGUUUCUUCUCCUAUCUUUUUUAUGUUUUUCGCCACUUUUAGUUAUUUUAUUAAGAGAUAUUUCACUCAAGAUGAGCGAAGACAGCCAGUCUCAGAACGUAAAGCGUCUGCAGGGACAUCUGACGCUAAACGCCAACGAGUUCGAGAUCAGUGGGGCGAUUUUAAAGCUACUAAAGCAGAAAGAAAAGACUGAAAAAUGACUGGAUUUUUGUUUUUCUUUCGAAAAACCUGAUUCACAAUUUGUCAACAGGUACAGAGUGAAAUCCAGGAUUGAUUCCUGCGUCCGUCAGGCUGUUUUUUAGCUCUCCCGCAGUUCUGUGAUGCUGUAAUCUAACCCCAGUGUCUUGGAUGAGGGAGUUGACGACCCCUCAUCAUCAGUUUGUUCACCUCAGGUUAAAAUGUCUCUGACCCAAUCUGUGAGCUGCUUUUUUGUUUAGUUUUGUUUUUUGUAACGCUUUCUAACUCUGCUCUGGGGUCAUGUAACUGUCUGUAUCCGUGGCGAUCGAUGACCUGUUCCUGAUAUAAUCUUGUUUUUUCUGUUUGGGUUAAACUGCUUGAUUAAAAUUCUUUAACAACAACCCCCGGCGCCUCUCUUUGUUUUAUUUUUUGCUUUCUUUGUCACUCGCCUGGAUGUGUUUUGUCUUCUCUUACCACAAAGGAACGAUAAAAAUCAUUAACAGCUAACAACUUGCCAGAAAAAAAACCCUCUAAUUUCCAUUUGUUGCUGUUGUUUUUCUUUUGGUUUGGAGACAAGUUUUUUUGCCUUUCGCCAUCUCUGUGGUUGAGACUUAAUGAGUUUAAAUAUAUUCUGUCCCUCGCAGCAAGAAAAAGAAGAACAAAGUGGCUGUAAUGGAAAGCAGAGAUACUGUUUAUCUCCACUCUGAUAGAGCUCGGUAAUGGGCGAUUGCCUCUGCUUGUUUGUGUGAGCCUAAAGACGAAAUUGCCAGGAAACGAGAGAAAGCAAUUGGAGCUCGUGUGCCAAAAGAAGGGCAAAAGAUUCUGGGAUACGAUUUCCCCCAAAACGUCGGCGACCAGAAAUUAAGUUUAUACAGACUUCAAAUCAACGUUCAGUCAGUUUCUAGAUGCAUGCAGUUUGCAAGUCUUUCCAUAUAAAAAGGCAUUUGGUCACUUCAGUAUUUCGUACAGAUGGAGUGCACCGGGAAAUUGUUGCUGCAUAAUGAUAAAGAAAAGGCAAGAAUUUCACAUCUAUUUUUAUGCAAAUUAAAUGCAAACUAAAAAAAUAAAUAAAAUGACUCAUACUGCUGAAUUACUGAAUUAUUGCCAGCCCUGCUCGGCUUUAUCAGUCACACUUGAAAAGAGCAGAAGUGUCCAAGUUUCCAACAAAAGUGCUGUUAUGGCUGCAGCGUGGGUUUUUUUUUUUUCAGUUUCAGCAAUACGCCAUAUAAAAAAAUUUAAAUCUUUUUUUUUUGAGAGAGAGAGGAACUGUGAUUUAAUGUAGGGUGAAUCAAAAAGAGAAAGUUCUCCAUUAUUUAACACAUGACGUGCUGGCAUGACAUUCUCCCAGUAUGAUGCGUAUGAGUAUGAAAUAUGACUGCUUCAUCUUUCUUGCAUCGUUAUAUUAACACAUUUAAGCCAUGGGAAUGGUAUAGUGCACAUUUUUUGCAGUUUCGAAACUUCAAUUCUUUGGAAACAAUGAGAGACGUUUUACUUGAAUAACUAAUCAGGGUGUAGCAAAACAAAUUCAAUGAAUAGCAUGAAAACAUCCCCCCCCCCCCCCCCACCCCGAUGUCUCAAAAACAUUUUCUUUUUAAAGUUUCUUUUGCCUGUUCUGCAGAUUUUAUUAAAAUGAUUAAGCUGACGGAUGGUACGCAGCAAAAUUCUCCCACUCAUUUUGGUACAAUAACUUAGAACUGCAUUCGUACUAUUAUGAGAUAUUGAAAUAUUAAUUUUUCAUGUCUACAAAAGUUCUAUCUAUCAUCAGGGUUUAAAGUUUAAAGUUACUUUGCAUGUAAAAGUUUGUAAGUCCAGUUCUAGUUUAACUUUAUUACUGAACUUUUAAAACACAGAUGUAUCGGCAAAAUUUGUGGAUGAAUCUUUUUUGUUGAUUUUGUUUUUGCAGCAGAUUUCUGUGUGUGUGUGUGUGGGUGGGGGUGUGUGUGCGUGUGUGUGUGUGGGUUGAACAAAAAGUCUAGCUCAACUAGAAUUUAUUCUUCUUUCCUCUGAAACAAAAGGCAGCUGUGAUAAAUGUUAAACACGGCAGAGUUAGCAGUCAGAGUAGACAAGCCGUAUUAUUCUUCCAGAGUAAACAGCCACAAGAAAAAAGUUAGGCUGGGAGUGAAUAAUUGACGUCUGAAAACAAUGAAGUUUUCUGUUUGGCAUUUCAGGGUAACACACAAAGCUUUGGAACGUUAGCUAAAUCUUACAUCCCAACCUAACCGGUAUUCAGGAAGUGAAGCUAGCAGAGAGAACUGGUAUGAAGCAAAAUGUCAUCAUCUAAUCUUUGGAUUAAAUAUUUAAAACAAUCAUCCAUAAUAAAGCAGACUCCUAGUCAGGUGUAGCUGUACCUGUAGCUUCACUUCAGAUGCUUGGAGAUCAUUAAAUAAAAAUAAAAUUGUGGGUGUAUAAAGACAGGAAGGUUAGAACUAAAUGAGGGUCGAAACCCAUUUCAUUCCCUUCGCUUAGUAUCUGAAGGGAAAAAAGUGGGAAAACAUAUUCCCAAGCAAAACAUUUAAAAAGAGCAUUUUGAGCACUAUUGGUACUGCAUGAUAUUUAUAAAAACUAGUUAUAUACAUAUAUAUAUAUAUAUAUAUAUAUAUAUAUAUAUACAUAUUUACUAAGAAGAAGUUUCACAGUUACAUUACUAGUCAUUUUAAUGUCAAUCUGCAAAUUUCUGCCACAUGUACAAUGCUAUGUUAGCAUUGUAUAGAAACACUUAACAGAUUCUAAGUAGGUAACCCAGGAAAUAACAUUUUUCUGUUUGAUCUUUUUGUAAAGAAAACAUAAAAGUCUUAUAAUGGCAGAGUGGGUCUUCAAGUAAAUUCUGCUUACGCCCAAUAAAACCUUAGAUCAUCCGAAAAAUACCCGUCAACUUGUCCGGCCUUUCAGUUUAGGUGGACGGCCAUUUCCUGUUUGGUUUGUGAUUAAACCUUCACCAAAGAUUGUACUAUUGUAAAUACCACGGCGCAUCUUGCUGUCACUCUCACACUCUGUUUGCUUCCAUCUACAUUUCUGAACGCUCUCGAGGCCAAAACAAACUGUUGUUUUUGCUUCUCAAGGCAGCACGCGGCUAUUCACUUCAAAGGUACACAGCUGAUUUUCAAACGAGGCGGGCGGCUUUCGGGCGGGGUUCCUCCGAGACUAUUUGAUGUCUUGUUUCGUUCUUCUCUCCGCUUUCUUAAAAACCACCGUUUUCUCGGAGCUCUUCCUCCCCUCGUCUCCCAUUCCACAUCAUUUUCUGCGUGUGCGGACCUAGCCAGGCGAAGACUCGCGCAGAAGAGCACUUAUGGAAAAAUGGCAUCUUCAAGGGAUCUCUGUGGAACAGAGCUGGAGUUCGCUCGCUAACGUCAAAGGCAAAGAAAUAUUUGAAAUAGUUCUAAUAACGAGGAAUGAUGGUGUUUUUCCCCCCCUCUCCAUCUUUCUCUUUUAUAUUUCCCAUCCUCUUAGAUCCAAAUUCAAAACAGCCAUAAAAGGCUGGCCGGGUUUCAGAGUGCGCGUGUCAUAAUGUGUAUAGCAGUGAUGGCGGUGAAAGUUCCCCACUUUUUUUCUACUACCUUAAACAUCUUUGAUGUCAGGCAGCAGUGAGGUAAUGGAUGGGAAUCAUAACCCACCCUCAACACACACACACACACACCCCCACCCCCACGCACACACACACGCACACCCACCCACACACACACACGCACACCCACACACACACACGCACACAGACUCGCUACAAAUAAACUCCCGGUAUCCGGGACUUCAGAGGACACUCCAUUGAUUUUGCUGUGCACUCACCUUCAGCUCCCACAAAACUAAAUCCGGCCUCACCCUCCCCUGGUGUCCAAAAAUACCCGGAGAUGGAGCAGACUCGCUUUUGUCCGUGAAAAUAAAGGCCCGUCCGGCUGAAACCUUGUUGGGACGAAAUUAUGAGAAAACCCACACGCGUGUUCCUUUAUGCUCCGGUCGGAAACAGAAAUACACGAGGUGACAAGACGUGAAAGGUUUCGGUAUUAGAAGUAUUAAGUGUUACACCUGAUGUUUCUGUAAAGUUUGCAUGAGUUAAAAAGUUGUUUUUUCCCCCCUCAUAAUAUAUAAUUGGUCUCUUUGUUAAGUUAAACCCAUCAGCGGUAAGAGAGCUGAUGGGUUUAACACUGGUACCAAUGAGAUUCAUUUUUAAUAGGUUCUGGCCAAAUAUUGGACAGUAAGCUGGGUGGAACUCCUCUGUCAUUAAUCUUACUGACUUCAAUGAAUUAAUGGAAAUAAAUUCUAUUCAGAGCCACCGCGGCCGCCAGCUUUCAGCAUUAUCAGCGUAUUAAAAGUAAUUGUUUGUUUUACGUCCCUCGGUCGUGAACGAGACGAACGGAAAGUACACGUCAGAGUAAAUUUCCACAAUAACAGAGCAGCUUUCUGUGUGGUCCACCUAGUAGCCUGUAGGUUUAUUUCAUAUUUAUUUCUUUAUUUAUUUCAGGUUUUUUUAAAAAAAAAUAAGAAAACAAGUGAUCAGUAGGACAAGAGGAAACGUUCAUAGAAAAAUAAUCAGCUUACCACUACUUUUCUGUUUGAAAACGGGUAGGAAGACGUGAACACUUAUUUAAUCAAUUUAAUGAAAUAGAUUACAUAGCGACUCAAGAAUGAUUAGAAAUGUGUAAUUAUGGGUAUUCAUAUGCCUGUUUAAUAUACAAUGCUAAAGAACAGGUUAAAGGUCAACCCCCACUUAAUCACUUGACGCAAACCUGUGACUGUGUUGAUCCCUUUUACAUAAAAAUUGGUCAGAUCAUGUGUUUUGUGGGGAUUUAGUUGUUUUUCAUAAUAUUUCCCACCUUUCUUUUUAAACUAGAUAGAGCGGUCUGCAUCCCUUGGGCGUUUACCCAAUGAAAUUACAUUUUCUUAAUAGCCAACCGUUGCAAUUUGAUUUCAACUUUCAUUUACUUUCACUUCCUAAUGUUAAAUUCACUUCUUCGUUCGCUUUCCUUCAAUAUCUUUUGUUUUCCACCACUUUUCUUCCCUAACACUUAAGACUGUAUGGAAUUGGAGGAGGA